GACAGCAAGGGCUUCGGCCUCCUCCGCAUGCGUCCCCUAGCGGGAAGCUGAAAGAACGCACCCAGCAGUCCGGAUCGGGUCUCAAGGAUUCGGCAGAUUCAUGGAGGUAUAGGUUGACAUACAAUGAACUGCAUGUACAUAUUUGGAGUGUAAAAUUUAAUCCGUUUUCAGUCGUACAUCCGUGAAACCAUCACCAAAAUCGGGAUAAUAAGCAUACUCGACGCCCCGAAAAGUUUCCUCAUGACUUUUGCAAUCCAUCCCUAUUGCCCUGCUAGGGCUGUACGUAGGAUCAGACUUAGAGCAUGGAUGGAAUGCCCAUCUUUCCUCUGUGGUAAAAGUAUGAAACAUCCCAUAUACUGGCUUUUCUUGCUUGGCCUCCAACAAUCUUCUGACCUGUUUAACAUCAUUCUGACAACAUGGACAACUGGGAGAAAAUGCGCCAGAUAACCUAGUCCCGAUUUGCUAUCAUAUGAUCUCAGUGGCAGAAAAAAGGAAAUAGAUUGUUCAUCUCUAAGACUCCUGGCUGCCUACCACAUCAAGUUGUGAGAAUCAAUGGAAAUAACGCAUCCAAAUGUGUUGGAAAACUAUGAAGCGAUAUACAAAUGGGAGGUAUUAACUUAGCUCAACACUAAUCAAAUUUUAGAACUUUAUCCUUGUCUACAUAAUACAUAUUUUUAGGGUUUCUAACUAAG